CCGCCGCCGAGUCACGGGGAGGCAGAAGGUCGCGUGCAGUCAAGAUUCGGCUACACUCGUAAUCCACCGCCAUGGCCGAGGAAGGUAUUGCUGCUGGAGGUGUAAUGGACAUCAAUACUGCUUUACAAGAGGUGCUGAAGACCGCCCUCAUCCACGAUGGCCUAGCACGUGGAAUUCGCGAAGCUGCCAAAGCCUUAGACAAGGGCCAGGCCCAUCUUUGUGUGUUUGCAUCCAACUGUGAUGAGCCUAUGUAUGUCAAGUUGGUGGAGGCCCUUUGUGCUGAACACCAAAUCAACCUAAUCAAGGUUGAUGACAACAAGAAACUAGGGGAAUGGGUAGGUGGGUAGGCCUCUGUAAAAUUGACAGAGAGGGAAAACCCCGUAAAGUGGUUGGUUGCAGUUGUGUGGUGGUUAAGGACUAUGGCAGAGUCUCAGGCGAAGGAUGUCAUCGAGGAAUACUUCACGUGCAAGAAAUGAACAAAUAAACUUGGUUCUUGUUCCAAAAAAAAAAAAAA